rnacentral:lncRNA from 1 species
CUUUUGCCCUCUAACAAGCAAAUGGAAACUGAAGAACAGGAGAUGUAUGGAGGCAGAGGGUAGCAAAAAAUGAAAGAAGUCAACACCGUAAGUCAGUUAACGGGUCCUCAGCUUCUUAGACUGUCUCUUGCGUUUUAGUUCCUCCUCUUCCCGUCUCAAUUCUUCAAGGUCUUCCUGAACACCGAGCCUCAAGCUCCUCGCUUCUUCUUUCUGCUGC